rnacentral:rRNA from 1 species
CCUACGGGAGGCUGCAGUGAGGAAUAUUGGUCAAUGGGCUUAAGCCUGAACCAGCCAAGUCGCGUGAGGGAAGAAUGCCCUAUGGGUUGUAAACCUCUUUUGUCAGGGAGCAACGCCGGCUACGUGUAGCCGGACUGAGAGUACCCGAAGAAAAAGCAUCGGCUAACUCCGUGCCAGCAGCCGCGGUAAUACGGAGGAUGCGAGCGUUAUCCGGAUUUAUUGGGUUUAAAGGGGGCUUAGGCGGAAUGCCAAGUCAGCGGUAAAAUCGCGGGGUUCAACCUCGAUCCGCAGUUGAAACUGGCGUUCUUGAGUGGGCGAGAGGUAUGCGGAAUGCGUGGUGUAGGGGUGAAAUGCAUAGAUAUCACGCAGAACUCCGAUUGCGAAGGCAGCAUGCCGGCGCCCAACUGACGCUGAAGCACGAAAGUGUGGGUAUCGAACAGGAUUAGAUACCCCUGUAGUC